rnacentral:tRNA from 1 species
UAUGAAUUGCCUGACAAAAAGGAUUACUUUGAUAGAGUAAAUUAUGUAGAAAACUACAUUCAUAA